ACUUAAAUAGCUUAAUAUAGAGUUAGAUAUUGAAGAUAUCUCGGUGAUUUAAAAUCUUUAAGUA
rnacentral:tRNA from 1 species